GACGAACGCUGGCGGCGUGCCUAAUACAUGCAAGUCGAGCGGAUCUUCAUUAGCUUGCUUUUGAAGAUCAGCGGCGGACGGGUGAGUAACACGUGGGCAACCUGCCUGUAAGACUGGGAUAACUUCGGGAAACCGGAGCUAAUACCGGAUAAUCCUUUCCCUCACAUGAGGGAAAGCUGAAAGACGGUUUCGGCUGUCACUUACAGAUGGGCCCGCGGCGCAUUAGCUAGUUGGUGGGGUAAUGGCUCACCAAGGGGACGAUGCGUAGCCGACCUGAGAGGGUGAUCGGCCACACUGGGACUGAGACACGGCCCAGACUCCUACGGGAGGCAGCAGUAGGGAAUCUUCCGCAAUGGACGAAAGUCUGACGGAGCAACGCCGCGUGAACGAUGAAGGCCUUCGGGUCGUAAAGUUCUGUUGUCAGGGAAGAACAAGUACCGGAGUAACUGCCGGUACCUUGACGGUACCUGACCAGAAAGCCACGGCUAACUACGUGCCAGCCGCCGCCGUAAAAC
rnacentral:rRNA from 1 species